UCCCUUGUAGUUCAGUUGGUGAAGAAUCUGCCUGCAGUGCAGGAAAUGCAGGUUUGAUCCCUGGCUUGGGAA
rnacentral:tRNA from 1 species